rnacentral:rRNA from 1 species
GAUGAACGCUAGCUACAGGCUUAACACAUGCAAGUCGCGGGGCAGCAUGGGGGUUGCUUGCAACCCCUGAUGGCGACCGGCGCACGGGUGAGUAACGCGUAUCCAACCUGCCCUUCACCACGGGAUAACCCGGCGAAAGUCGGACUAAUACCGUAUGUUGUCCAUUGACGGCAUCCGAUUUGGACGAAAGGUUUGGCGGUGAAAGGAUGGGGAUGCGUCCGAUUAGCUUGACGGCGGGGUAACGGCCCACCGUGGCUACGAUCGGUAGGGGUUCUGAGAGGAAGGUCCCCCACACUGGAACUGAGACACGGUCCAGACUCCUACGGGAGGCAGCAGUGAGGAAUAUUGGUCAAUGGGCGUAAGCCUGAACCAGCCAAGUAGCGUGCAGGAUGACGGCCCUAUGGGUUGUAAACUGCUUUUAUGCGGGGAUAAAGUGGCCCACGUGUGGGCUUUUGCAGGUACCGCAUGAAUAAGGACCGGCUAAUUCCGUG